UACGUAGGGUGCAAGCGUUGUCCGGAAUUAUUGGGCGUAAAGAGCUCGUAGGCGGUCUGUCGCGUCGGCUGUGAAAUCCCGAGGCUCAACCUCGGGUCUGCAGUCGAUACGGGCAAACUAGAGUAUUGCAGGGGAGACUGGAAUUCCUGGUGUAGCGGUGAAAUGCGCAGAUAUCAGAAGGAACACCCAUGGCGAAGGCAGCUCGCUGGCCUACAACUGACGCUGAGGCGCGAAAGCGUGGGGAGCAAACAGG
rnacentral:rRNA from 1 species